rnacentral:ncRNA from 1 species
UCAGACAAAGGCAAACCCGCCGGAAGGUGGGGACGCAAAGCCAGGGGCCCUCGCGGGGGCGGCCCAGCUACCGAGA